CUGGGUUGGACUCGAUGAUCUUGGAGGUCUCUUCCAACCUGGUCACUCUGUGAUUCUGUGAAAGAAAAACCAAACAGGGACCAGGUGCCUCGAGGCCUCGAGCUGGGGAUCUCACACUAAUGGAUCCAUUUAUUCUCCAUAAAGCCUUCAAAACGCAGAACCCUGUACAAGUGAGUUCCUGAGGAACCCAGAGCGAUGGGUCUGCGAGGGGAGCAGGCCUGAUCCAGGUGCAGUCCCCAUUUCCCGUUGGAUCUGAGCCUCUGGAGCUGCUGGAGCUGAGCUGUACCCCAGGAGGGCAGCGCUUGGCAUGCAAGGAGAGCAAACCUUCCCCCAAACCUGCCUGGAGAGGAGGAGCAGCCAGGAGCAUCCACCUUCUCCCUUCUCACCCUUUCCACUCUGUUCUCUCACCCAUCAUCUCCCUGUACCUCCCUCCAUCUCUCUUUCCCUCUUUCCCUUUUUAUUCACCAGAGAUGACCACAUCAGAGGCUCUGCUUUAACCCCCACAAUAAGACCUGAAUAAUUUUAAUUAUUUUAUUUCUAAUUUAUCAGUUUCCCUCUGCCCAGUGGAGCCUGUGGGAUGACCCCAGACCAUGUAGGACUCUAAAAGGACCCUCCAAAUCUGCUGAAAAAUGGGAUUCUCCUUGAUUAAAUGCUGGAAGUCCAUCUGCCACUGCAGAAAACACUUCCCUGCCCUGCCAGUGAAUGAGUUUGGUCCCUGGAAUAAAUGACUGAGAAUCCACAGCUUUGGAGCAUGCUGCAGAUCUUAAAUCCCAUUGUUUCAUGCAGCACUGGGAAGCUCUUGGGUGCUCCAGCGCCAGGCACAGCGUGAGCACAGACUGGGAGCAAACAGCUCCUUCCUGCAAGCAGGAGGAGCAGCUUAAUGGAAUUCUGUUCCUGGCAGAGAGGAAGUCAGCCCGACCCCCUCAUAUUCCCUGCCUUGAAUGAGUUGGAGAUCUGUGUUAUUGAAAAGGGAAAAGGAAAAAAAAAAAAAAAAUCAAACCCUCGAGUCAAAGAGAAGAGGUUUGCAUUCCCAUCCUGAUUCAGAAAAUUGCUUGAGAACACACUUCACUCCCAAGCUCGCAUUCCCACUGCUGCUUUGUUUUAGAGGGAUUCAGGCCCUGAUCCAAGGGGGGAAAAUCCUGUGUGCAUCUGGAGUGGUGCUGGAAUAAUGAUUGCAUUUCUCCUACAAAAUCCUCCUUCGAGUAUCCCUGAGCAGGAAGAUUCCUCUACCCCUUCAGCUGAUGCUAAAUUGGCUCCUUUUCCCUGACACAUCCCAGAAUCUUCUCAUCCCUGUGGAGCUGAGCGCCCUCACCCUGCCCCAGGACAGUGCUGGGGCAUCCAGCAGGAUCAGGGCAUCCUUUGGAUCCCCUCUGCAGCCACACAAAGCCACCCCCUGAUGGUGAGGGGUGCAGGGGAGAUGUGAUGCCAGGGAAGGUGGGAUCCUGCCUGGCAUUCCUGCUGGAAGCACAGGACAAGUGCUGGGGGCUGCACUUCCAGGUGUGGCUCCAUAAUGAGCCGUGUGUGGGAUUAUUUGGGAUAACACAAUCCCACCGUGAAUGUGAACAGCGGCCAUAAAUGUUCUUACAAAGGAUAAGGAGCUCUGAAAGGCUCAGAAAGGUUUUGUGGGAUCCCUCAGGUCAGCCACAUCCUCAUUAUCCCAGAGUGUCCUUGGAUAGGGGGAAUGGAGCCUUUCCCUGCAAGCCACCCCACAUCCAUGCUCUUUUCCCAAUUUCCAUCCCUUUCCUGCUGCGUUCAGCGGAUUUAGCACAAGGAUGGGUAGUUCUUGGGUAGUGGGAAUGGAGCUUUUCCCUCCAAGCCACCCCACAUCCACGCUCCUUUCCCAGUUCCCAUCCCUUUCCUGCUGCACUCAGCACAGUCAGCACAAGGACGGGGCACAGAGGACGCCUCGUUUUGGGUGUCCUGAGGCACCUCCCGCUCCCUCCAGGUGGAAUUCCUGCCCCUGCUCCUCUCCUGCCCUUCCCGAGGGAGCGGAGGAUCCCGAGCAGCUCCCGCUGCAGCCGCAUCCCUCCCGCGGGCACGGUGGCCAAGUGGUUCCCACGGCGGCCAACCCUGCCAGGAGGAGCCGAUUAAAAAUCUCCACUGUGAAAAAACAUUCAAUAU